rnacentral:rRNA from 1 species
UACGUAGGGGGCAAGCGUUGUCCGGAUUUAUUGGGCGUAAAGAGCGUGUAGGCGGCCAUACAGGUCAGCUGUGAAAACUCGAGGCUCAGCCUCGAGACGUCGGUUGAAACCGUAUGGCUAGAGUCCGGAAGAGGAGAGUGGAAUUCCCGGUGUAGCGGUGAAAUGCGCAGAUAUCGGGAAGAACACCCGUGGCGAAGGCGGCUCUCUGGGACGGUACUGACGCGUGAGACGGCGAAAAGCGUGGGGAGCGAACAGG